GAGUUUGAUCAUGGCUCAGGAUGAACGCUAGCGACAGGCCUAACACAUGCAAGUCGAGGGGCAGCACAUGAGUAGCAAUACGAUGGUGGCGACCGGCGCACGGGUGAGUAACACGUAUGCAACCUGCCUUCUACUAUGGGAUAACCCGUUGAAAGACGGACUAAUACCGUAUAAUACAGGGGCUCCGCAUGGAGAUAUUUGUUAAAGACUUAUUGGUAGAAGAUGGGCAUGCGUAUGAUUAGAUAGUUGGUGAGGUAACGGCUCACCAAGUCAACGAUCAUUAGGGGUUCUGAGAGGAAGGUCCCCCACACUGGUACUGAGACACGGACCAGACUCCUACGGGAGGCAGCAGUGAGGAAUAUUGGUCAAUGGACGAGAGUCUGAACCAGCCAAGUCGCGUGAAGGAAGACGGUUCUAUGAAUUGUAAACUUCUUUUGUGCAGGAAUAAAGUGGGUUACGUGUAACCUUUUGUAUGUACUGUACGAAUAAGGAUCGGCUAACUCCGUGCCAGCAGCCGCGGUAAUACGGAGGAUCCAAGCGUUAUCCGGAUUUAUUGGGUUUAAAGGGUGCGUAGGUGGAUUGAUAAGUCAGCGGUGAAAGUUUGCAGCUUAACUGUAAAAUUGCCGUUGAAACUGUCGGUCUUGAGUGCAAAUGAGGUAGGCGGAAUGUGUUGUGUAGCGGUGAAAUGCUUAGAUAUAACACAGAACUCCGAUUGCGAAGGCAGCUUACUGGGAUGCAACUGACACUGAUGCACGAAAGCGUGGGUAUCAAACAGGAUUAGAUACCCUGGUAGUCCACGCAGUAGACGAUGAAUACUAGCUGUAUGCGAUAUACCGUAUGUGGCACAGCGAAAGCGUUAAGUAUUCCACCUGGGGAGUACGUUCGCAAGAAUGAAACUCAAAGGAAUUGAC
rnacentral:rRNA from 1 species